rnacentral:rRNA from 1 species
UACGGGGGGGGCAAGCGUUGUUCGGAAUUACUGGGCGUAAAGGGCUCGUAGGCGGCCAACUAAGUCAGACGUGAAAUCCCUCGGCUUAACCGGGGAACUGCAUCUGAUACUGGAUGGCUUGAGUUCGGGAGAGGGAUGUGGAAUUCCAGGUGUAGCGGUGAAAUGCGUAGAUAUCUGGAGGAACACCGGUGGCGAAGGCGGCAUCCUGGACCGGUAUUGACGCUGAGGCGCGAAAGCCAGGGGAGCAAACGGG